GGAACCGUAGCUCAGCCGGGAGAGCACUUGCUCGACAAGCAAGGGGUCGUUGGUUCGAACCCAAUCGGUUCCA
rnacentral:tRNA from 1 species